AGUGGAUGGGGAGCAACCUAGUUGUGCGUGUGUAAAGGUAGUGCCAAGAAAAGCGGUGAUCAUGAUGAAAAUCAAUUCCCGGUACCCGAAACCGACACAGGUGGGCAAGUAGAGAAUACUAAGGGGCGCGAGGUAACUCUCUCCAAGGAACUCGGCAAAAUGACCCCGUAACUUAGGGAGAAGGGGUGCCACCGAGAGGUGGUCGCAGUGAAGAGGCCCAGGCGACUGUUUAGCAAAAACAUAGGUCUCUGCAAACUCGAAAGAGGAGGUAUAGGGGCUGACGCCUGCCCAGUGCCGGAAGGUUAAAGAAGUUGGUCAGUCUUAGGAUGAAGCUAGCGACUGAAGCCCCGGUGAACGGCGGCCGUAACUAUAACGGUCCUAAGGUAGCGAAAUUCCUUGUCGGGUAAGUUCCGACCCGCACGAAAGGCGUAACGAUCUGGGCGCUGUCUCGGAGAGAGGCUCGGCGAAAUAGGAUUGUCUGUGAAGAUACGGACUACCUGCAUUUGGACAGAAAGACCCUAUGAAGCUUUACUAUAGCUUGGAAUUGUGUCCGGGCUUCCUGUGCGCAGGAUAGGUGGGAGGCGUAGAAGGUAUUCUUGUGGGGAUACUGGAGCCAACGGUGAGAUACCACUCUCAGGAGGCUAGAAUUCUAACUUAAUUAAGGACAGUUUCAGGUGGGUAGUUUGACUGGGGCGGUCGCCUCCAGAAAGGUAACGGAGGCGUACAAAGGUUCCCUCAGACUGGUUGGAAAUCAGUCGAAGAGUGCAAAGGCAGAAGGGAGCUUGACUGCGAGAAGUGCAGUUCGAGCAGGGUGGAAACACGGUCUUAGUGAUCCGACGGUGCUGUGUGGAAGGGCCGUCGCUCAACGGAUAAAAGUUACUCUAGGAUAACAGGCUGAUCUCCCCCAAGAGUUCACAUCGACGGGGAGGUUUGGCACCUCGAUGUCGGCUCAUCGCAACCUGGGGCGGAAGUACGUCCCAAGGGUUGGGCUGUUCGCCCAUUAAAGCGUUACGUGAGCUGGGUUCAGAACGUCGUGAGACAGUUCGGUCCAUAUCCGAUGUAGGCGUGAGAAUAUUGAGAGGAGCCUUCCUUAGUACGAGAGGACCGGGAAGGACGCACCGCUGGUGUACCUGUUAUGAUGCCAAUUGUAAACGCAGGGUAGCCAAGUGCGGAGAGGAUAACCGCUGAAAGCAUCUAAGUGGGAAGCCCACCUCAAGAUGAGUAUUCUGGUGUAAGGUCACGGGAAGACGACCCGUAAAUAGGCACGAGGUGGAAGUGCAGAGAUGUAUGAAGCCGAAGUGUACUAAUAGACCGUCGGCU
rnacentral:rRNA from 1 species